UUAUUGACAGUAGUUACAAACUUAAAAAAAUGGGUUUGAAAAACAUACCAAAAGUACUUACUUAGCACAUUAAAGUAAAUUUGCUUCAAUGCUAACUCUCAACAUUUGAGUGAUUCAUUGCAGGCAUUUGAGAAAAAAAUUGACUUACCAGUUUGAAAACGCCAUUUUUUGUUUUUUGACACAAAGGUGACUGCGUAAUGGCGAAUGGAACAGCCACGCGUAAGUUGCUCCAUAAGUUUGCAAAAAAUCACCAAAAAGUCGCGUCUGUGUUCGCAAAAGUGUAUAUUUCUGGAAAGGGGAAGAUUUCCUUCACCGAUUCGUAGUAAUUUCGCGACCGCGAGCGCGGUGUUACUCAAGAAACGCGCCUUUUGUAUUUGUGAAGUUUCUGACGUCUUCCUAACAAGGAUUCACCCUGCCAUAAAGUUUUCAAGAGUAUUUUUGGACUGUUUGAACCCACAUUUGGACCAAGUAAUACCCAAAAACUACAUUAGAUAAGGCAAACUGCAACACGCCCUGUAUAUUGGUUGCGUUACUUUGAAAAUAAAUUUCGGGACACAUUCCUUGUGGCUCGAGGACAGUUUACACGUUGAAAAAACAUUUGAAAAAUGGCCAGAGCAGUACACGAGCGCAUUGCUGUUAUUGUUGACCUGAUUCUCAAAGUGUUCCAGACACACGUACAGGCCAAUUGAAUCUGAACUAUUUGAUACGUUAUAAGGUGGUGGGACCCAUAGAUUAACUAAGUGGGACCGGUGGGUACCAUUGGACUCUGCUCCAGUGAAUUAAUUCCAUAGAUUGCCUCACAUCAGAUGUCAGCUUCCUUCAGAGGAAAUCAGCCCAACUGUGACACCACAACUGUUCAAUAGCAGAGAGAGAAGCACCUACAAUUUUGUAUUGGUAUUUUGAUUUUCCGCAAUAUUUUUAUCAAAUUACCGUAUUUCCAUGUUGCGAUACCGCAUCAAAGCAGUCGAUUUUUCUCUGCCGAA